AUAUGUUAAUACAGCUAUACUUUCUCAGUGUGUAAAGUUUGAUCAGGAGCAAUGAAAACUUCAACUUAACAAGGCGCCAUCUUGGACCUCCCCCAGAAUGCUCACUUCGAAGGGCACAUUUGAAGUGUGAAUGCGUCACCGCAGCAUGACAAAGGCUGACGAAUUUCGAAAGCCACAUCAAAUGCACCCGUGUCUGAAGCAUACUUUGAAAAACGGCAUCGUGUUGGUCGGCGACAGCCUCUGCCGUCGCUACCGGCGCGACUAUAAAUACGCGCCCGUAGGACCCGUCACUUAUCUUCUUCGUCUUCAUUGACUAUUUUGUUUGAAGCGUGCAUCUGAGAAACGACCAGAACGGUAAGAGCGAUCUAUUAUCGUUAUCAUGGCAUCCACUAGCAAGGUGUUUAAACGGUGUGUGCAUCCAUGUCAGCGUUAUUUGACACCUGAUGACACACACAGUCUUUGCGUCUCUUGUUUGGGCAAAGAGCACGCGCGCGAUUUCCUUGAGGGGGCAAUCUGCGCGCACUGCGUGCGUUUUUCUGUGAAAAAGGUCCGCUCUCAUUUGUCAUCUGGAUCUCGCGGCUCAGGACCCGCCAUUGCCGAAGCACAGAGGAGAAUGAGCUCGUGGGGAUCACAGGUGGAUCUCGCUGAGGAGUGUAGAGAGGGACUUUUCCUCUCACACUCUCCGGCAGCAAACGAGAGCGAACUUCGGGGCGUUGCGUUGUCAUUAACCCUUUCUGACACUGAAGUUAGUGCUCUGCUGGGUUCUACCCAGAAAGAGCAGGAGAUAUUUGAGAGUGGCGAAGAAGCUGAGGCUGAGCCGCUCAUUUCUCCUGCUCUGCGUAUGGGGAGCUGUUAGAGGUUAUGGAUCGCGCCGCGGCAAAAUAAAAAUAAAUAAAUAAAUAAAAAUUAAAAAAUUAAAUAAAUAAAUAAACUUGCCAUGGAAGCGUGCCAGAAAGGUAACGUCGCGAGGUAGCCUCGAUGAGCGUUAUUUAUCUGACCAUAGCCCACCAGCCCAGGUGAGCCUCCCAUUCUUGCCUGACUUACAUGCAGAAGUCGAAAAGGAAUGGAAGAGGCCGUUUUUCUCUCGCAUCCAUCGGUUUCAGCAUACGAGUUAUGAUGAUAUCGAUGGCAUGCAUGAGAACGGCUAUGAGAGGAUGCCCCCUGUAGAAGAGAUGCUGGCUAGCUAUCUCUCAGUGGGGGAACAUCCUCUCUAAAAUCUCCCUCUUUGCCAUCUAAGCCCUUCCAGGAUACAUCCCGCUUAAAUGGUAAAUCAUACGCAGCAGCAGAGCCCGAACAACAAAGGGGUCCUGGCCCAUCUCGAUCUGAGGAUCGAAGACGGGCGCAGAAGGCUAGUGUCGCGGCUCGCGCUCCUCCCCCGCCUGAGGGCAGGGGCAAGAGGAAUCGCGGGUCACGAAGAGGUAAGCAGGGUCUGAGGGAUGUGAUUCAGACGGGGCAGCGUUCUCGUCUGGAUCGGAGCGAUACCUAGGAGUUCGUCACUUCCUUUUGGAUGUUUUUAACUUCUGUUUUAUUUCUCCCCUGCCUAAUUCCCCUGUAGCCACCAACGCUCCACCUGAUCGGGGUUAAGUGGAAAGUUUCUCACAUAACAGUCUCCUGGACCUGUUAUGUUUUUGGUUGGUCCUAUUUUCAUAGUGAUAGUGGUUAUAGUGGUUAUAAAAAGGACCAUAGUGGUCCUUUUUUCAUUGCUGGUGGUUAUGUCUACUAACAAACUCCGUGAGUUUCCUUUACAGUGUUCAGUUCCAGCCUUGUGCUCUGGCUACGAUCACAGACUUUCGGCAGGCGGCCGUGCCGCGUGGGUUUGCCCCCCCAGGGAGCGACACCCACCGCGGAGCAAGUUCCACGUGCGGGAAACAAGCGCUCUGCGGUUGCUCGUCCCACACCCCUCCCGAGGAGCCUGGCUGAUCGUCAGAACUGGCAUAGCACUGCAGGGAAUUUCAUGGAUAUCCAGCCAGGUCACCCUGAGGGGCCGCCUGGCCGCUUGGCGCAUCCGGGGAGGUGGUAGUUACGGAGCCCUCUGUAUGUACUGCCUCAGGUGAUGCUCCCCUCGCUUGAGGGUUGGAGCUCGCUUCUCCCGUGCGAUCCAGCGCCUCUGCGAUGCUUAGGAACCUUUCUGUACACACGCUAAGCCUGUGUUCUGUCUCAAAACCACAUGGUGGUCAGUGUGCACGUGAACACUUUGCGCACUGUCUCAAAUCCACGUAAGUGGUAAGUGUGCACACGCAAGGCUCUGCGCACUUUCUAAAAUCCUGUACCGUAAGGGUUACGCGCUCUGCUUCGUUCCCUUUCUUAAGAUGAUUAGCCCCGAGGUUCCUUGGGCUUCAUUCAACCAGUGUGUAUUUGUUAUACACCCCAAGCAUCGCUUCCCUCAACAUGAGGGGCUGUGUGGACUCCCGCAUAUUGUGUUUUUUUUCAGAUAGUAGGCUUCACCAGGUCUCUCUGAAAGCGAGCUCCCACAUACUGUGGUUGUCAGGUAGUAGGCCUCACCAGGCCUCCCUGGAGAUUUAGCUCCCACAUGCUGUGCGUUUCCACUAAAAAACAAGCUCCCACGGUUUGUGGUUGUCAGGUAGUAGGCCUCAGCAGGCCUCCCUGGAGUCGAGUUCCAUAUUACCUUCCACUGAGGUGGUUAUCUGGUAACAGUUAGUAGGCCUCUCUAGGCCUCUCUGUAGGUGAACUCCCACAUAUUGUGGUUAUCAGAUAGUAGGCUUCACAGGUCUCUCUGAAGGUGAGCUCCCACAUACAGUGGUUGUCAGGUAACUUUUCUGUACACACGCUAAGCCUGUGUACUUUCUCAAAUCCACGUAAAGUGGUAAGUGUGCACGCAAGGCUCUGCGCACUUUCUAAAAUCCUGUAUGGUAAGGGUUACGUGCUGUGCUUCGUUCCCUUUCUUAAGAUGAUUAGCCCCGGGGUUCCUUGGGCUUCAUCCAACCAGGGUGUAUUUGUUAUACACCUCAAGCACCGCCCCUCAACAUGGGGGGCUGUGUGGGCAAUUCUCGCGGUAGUUUAGUAGCGCUCCCCUUUUCAAAAAGGGUCGCCUAUGAGCAUGCUGCUCGGAGUCCUCCUCUCAUGGGAGAAUGAAUUCUCGGUUUUUCAUCAGAGCGCUCCAGUACUACAUACUGUUUUGAGACACACUGUGAGAGCAGACAUCCUGCUGAGGCAGGGGCUGAGGCUCGGGGAAUGGCGCCUUCACACCAAGGUGUUGAAGCCUUUAAGAGAAGCUUUUUCACUUCUCUUAAAGGUAUAGUUCACCCAAAUAUUUUCCAAAUUCAGUCCUUGGUUUCUCAUAAGCUUAAUUUAUUUGGUUUAAAGAGAGAAGAAUUAAUGAUUAUUUUAAUUUGAAAACUACAUAUAAAACAGUUCCUUCACGCUCGUCUGGUCCAUGAGUUUAUUUGAACAAGGUUUUCCACGGAGCCGGAUCAUUUAUACUUCACACACCCCAUGUUAGUAAUUCUUUGUAUUUUUAAAAGUUUGAUUUUACUCUAAUUAACGUGUUUGUGUUGUGCAAUCUGCAAAAGCACCGCUCUGUUUCCUACAAACAUCUGCGACCGCCAAAUUCGAAUGUGCUCUAUCUCAAACAGCUCUUAACUUGAGCCACAUACUGUAUAAAUCUACGUGUGUGUGCGUUGUAUAAGUAAUGCUGUCUUUGUGUGAUACAGUUUAAUGUUUCAGAGGUGUUUGUAACUUCAAAAAAAAUUGUUGUGGCUUCGACAUAACAUUAGUUUGGUAGUGGACGCUGAUGCACUAACGUUACACACGAAGCCACAGCUAAGGUUAGCUGAGUGAUUAUCAAUUAGUCCAAAGCUGUUUAAUUAUGGUAAAGCAUAGUUCAGGCAAAUAUCUGGCAUAGUUCAUCUUUCACAAAAGUGUACGCUCACAGUGUAACAAUGUUGUAUGUAACAUGGAUGUUAAUAAUGUAAUAUGUUACUCUAUGCAUAGGCCUAACGUUAACUCAUAACCCAAAUUUCAUAUUUGUAUUGCUCUGUAGCUAUUGGGUGCAGAUGUCUAACCCCUGUCUCUUGAUAUAGUUUGUUGAUGCAUUUUAAAACCAUUUAAGUGAGAAUAUUUUUUGACUAAUUUAUUUAUAUUAACAUCCCUUCUCCCAAUAUUGUAAUUGGUUAACUGCUUGUAGGUGCUGUGUGAUGAUGAUAUUACAAAAAUUCAGUGGGGUUUUUACACAAGGUUUCUGAUUAUUUUUUUAAAUGAGUUCUGCGAUGAACUAAUGUUAAUCAUUCUUGUUUUGUUCAGCAGGGUAAUCAUCACUUGCACACCUUUUUAAAGGGCUUUCAUCACCUUUUUCAUAGCCUUUUUUCAUCAGUAUUCAAAAGGCUAACUAACUUAAUUUUUUUUCUCUCCCCAUUGACAGAUGGGAUGGCCCUGUAAAUUGUGCAGCACCGUGGUACCAGGAAAGAGUGACAUUUUAAAGCAUUAUAGACCGCAUCAUGGGACCUUUGGACACAGCCAUGCCUUGCCUUGUAUUCAUAUAGAUUGCCCAUGUUCUUUUAAAUCCUUUUCUACAGGUAAACGAGGAGUUCCGAAGAUGUACUGUGGUUCCCCUGGAAGCAAUGUUUAUGUCACAGCUGGACAAGCACACCCCAAAGCUCCUAGAGCUCUUUAGUGCCAAGGGAGGAGCAACUGGUCAACGCAUCAAAAACUUGAUGAUGGAACUGAUACAGGACCCAAGUGCCACUGCAGUGAAGAAGAGAGAUGUCACUCUGAGAUGCCUCUUUGAGUAUUUGAGAGAGAGUGGACAAGAGCUCAUCUCUGAUUACUUUGGGGCUGCAGAGACCACUGUUCAUGAGGAUCUGAAAAUGAAGAAUAUGAGCAUCUAUGUCUGCCGUGAGCCAGAUGCAGUAGGAAUCAUCAUUGAGGGAAUACCAGUCCUUACCAAUCUUGGAAAUCUGGCCAAAGCAUGCUGCUUGCUGCUUGGGUUGACAUAUGCACUUAAUCCUGAGGAUCCAUCCAAGGUUUCCAAAACAUUUGAGGUGUUUCAAAGACUUUUCGUGGGACUUGACACACUGCGCCCAAAACCAAGCCCCAAGUUCAUGACUCUGUAAAACAAGCUCCUUGCCUAGGCACUCAGACAUGACUGUCACUCUGCACUUGUGAACAGCUGUUUUCUUUGUCUGUUCAACACCAUUAUACACUGGACACAAUGUUGAAUUUUUCAGGAUGUUCUAAUGGUUUGUUUUUGUAAUGUGUUAUACUAUGCUUCAGGUCAUACUUUCUGGUGUGAAAAAAAGUUUAUAUUUUAUACAUAUUCUCUUCCUUUGGGGCCCUGGUAAUGAGUACUGGUUUUACUCCCAUUCCGAUCCUGGUAGCUAAAAUAUAAAGGAUACUGGCCCUCUAGAACAGAGUUUGGAGCAGUAAGGUCAAAUUAUUUUUAUGUACUUAAUUUUCAUUUUAUUUACUUAAUAGUGCUGCUUUUGCUGACAUUAUGUCUGUGGUCAAAAGUUAAAAUGACUGAUGCCUUGGCACAGUGCACAGACACAUGCAAAGCUCGGGACAUGACAAAUGCGCGCAGCAAAGGCUAGAAGGGAUACAUUUGGCACUACUGGGCAUGCGCACAUAAAUACAGCGAUAUUUUUGUCAUACUGUACUAGUGCUUGCAUAGACUACUCGGCGCUGUUGGAAACAAUCAUGCAUGCAUUAACCAUAAUGCAUACAAAGUGUUUGCAAGUACAACGUGAAUUUUGGAAUUACAAUAUUGCGUGGAGCUGUUACUAUAUGACCUUAUCUAUGUUGCAUGUAAAAAUAAAAUAUGACGAAAUAAUUAAGGUUGUGCCUGAAGCCGCAUUGUUGUCGCCUCUCUGAGCAUCUCUCAGAAAUCAGAGCAUUGCAAGAGUAAUUUUACCUAUAAUAAUACAUCAUACACGUUAUUGUAUUUGUAAAUAAAGCUUAGGCCACGAUAUUAUACGAAUGAGGGGAAUAAGCACAGCGCGCUCACCAAUCAAACAGCCGCGCUGCGCAUCUCAGUCUCAAAACCCAAAUCAGUUCUCUCUCAAGAGUAGGUUAAUAAUCAGCUUAGGUACUGAUACAUUGUCUACUUGUCCUACUUGUUUGCAUCUUUACCUUUUGCUGGAUUGCGCGGCACACACACAUCUCAUUAACAUUAAGACUCGCUUAAAGUGUUCUGCGUAAUCAACGAAAAUGUGCGCAUUAAAUGGAUUCAGUCGUGUUCAAAUUAUCACUAAAUGUUUGUCAUGACAUCUCUCUGCUUGCAUGAUAAAUAUUAUUUUAGAAAUUAAUAAUUAUUUUAGUUUAACACGACAUACUUGUUCAGUGAUAACUACGAAAAAAAUAUAAAAAGCCAUAACGGUCUUAUCAAGUAACUGUACGAUGUAUCCGAAUGCAGAUAGGAAACAUUUUGUGAUUGCUACAGAUACAAAUACUGGCUGUUACAUGAAAAUUUUAAUAUGUAAUGUCAUAAUUAUAAAGUUUUUUUAAAUUUA